ensembl:lncRNA
CAGCAGAAGCAUUUCACAGGCAAUUGGAGCUAAACGCCAAUGCUGCAGCAACGAGCAGCGAGAGGCAGCUGCAGGUAGGGGCUGCUGGGGCUGUGUCUGUGCCCACGCAGAGUGGCGGGGCUGUGAGCCCCCUGCCCCAGCCGUGCUCCCACCACCCAAAGUGCUUGCAGAGCCUGGCAGCACGGGGUCACACCCUGGUGUGGAAACCCCACCGGACAGAUGGACAGACAGACUGAUCACCAGACAGACACUGCUGAGCACCCCUGUGGGCAGCAGCAGCAGGGGGAUGUUUUGGAGCCCAUCAGCCAAACGGGCACAGCUGUAACCCAUCUCUGAGAGCUCUGCAAAGAAAGGCUCUUCCUCUGCAAGCUGCUGGUAUUUACUCAUCUGCUUAAUGAACUCCGCUUGGAGCAGCUGCAGGGAUGAGUCACGCUGUAUUUCAAGGCGGCGAGCGGUGCCAGCCCGGUCCUGUGCCACUAUGCUGGUGUCAGGUGCAGUUCAGGCCAGGGCCAGUGUGAGCCAUGCCACUGCCCUGCCUCCCUGGGGACUGACAGCCCCUCCAAUGUGUCGGCCUUGAAGCUGCGGCCCCCAGCGCGGUGGGUGCGAUGGUGGCUCUGGAGCUGCAGCUGGGGCUGAACGGAAGCUGCCCGGAUCCGUGCUCCCAGGGAGGAUGCUGAGGAUCAGCAUCUGUGCGCUCCAGCUAGCCCUUGUCCUCGCUGGGAAUGCAAACACGGCCGAGUCCUGCCAGCAAAGAAGCCUGAUGCCUUUAAAUUCCCCAGCAAAGGACCUGGCAUGCCCUGGUCAGCCCAGCACCUGGACAGGAGCAUCCCGAGGAUGCAGCAGCGUGGGACCCCGUGACCACAGCUCUGCACGUGCCCUGUGCCUUAGGGACGUGCAGAGGUGCCCACCGGGCUGGGGCUUGGCUCAGCCCCAAGGCAGAACAGCACAAUCACGUUGUGGGUCUGCCAGUAUGGAAAGCUCCAGGAAACCUUGGAGGAGGAGCGGCUCCCUCCUGGCUCCUCGGGGCUCCUGCCUCAGUGGUCUGCGGUGCCCGGAGCCGGCUCUGCCCUUGCCAGCAGCGGGGCUGGCCCAGAGCAUCCUCGCACGGACCAUGCUGCCCUGCAGUGCACCGUCACUGCAGCCAGGCUUCUUUAAGUUAAACAUCAAGUUAAACAACAAGUUUUGCAAUGCCAGCUGGCUGGUGUAAUUGGCUCUCUCGUGGCAUUAUUCACAGCUCUUCCUUCUUUCUUUUUUAGCUACCUUCCAUCUUGCUUGUUAAAAGCAAAGGAUAUUUUGCAGAAUUGGAAUUCAUUAGUCUUCCUAACAGAGGGAGCCUACUUAGACCUAAAUUGGUGGUUAGCAAACGCAGAGAUAAUUCCCACGCGUUCGUAUUUAUCUUCCCAGUUCGGCAGCGUGUCGAGACAGAUGCCUCGGCGUCUGUCGGAGAGGCUCCAGCCAGCGGAGGGGAAUACAAAGGUAUCUGGCUUCUGCAGUUGGUGAAACUUAAUAUAAGCAAAUUGGAACUCCGACUCGAUUAUCUCCCUGAUCAGAUUUCCCCAAGGUCCUAGUAAUAACUUGAUAUUCUUAGGCAAGACUAGUCUUUUAUGUACAGGAAACAGGAGGCAAAAGAUCACAUCAGAAGUCAGAGGCAGCGACGAAGACGGGCCGAGAGCUCUUCACAUGAAACCACAUGCGCUCAACAGCUCAUCGAUUAGUGCACACACCUGCCGAAGCCGCAUUUAAAGCCUCUGCAUUUGUGAUGGUUUUGGCUCUGGAGCCAAAUCUCUGCUCAGAUGUAAGGGCAGCACCAGCACAGAAUGUGUGAGCAUGUGUUUAUUGCUGCGAAAGAUAUCGAUCCCUAGGGACAGGGGGAGAAAUGUCCUGCCCCCUGUCCUGUCUCAGGUCAGCCUGCCUACCUGCAAGGGACAGGUAAGUACGGUGACACCCGGGAAGAAGCUGUGCAUCCACACAACCUACCUUUCAGC